AUACGAUUCUUGAAUGGACACUAUGAUACAAUACAACAGGGACUACUGAUGCACUUGUGGAAACAAGAAUAGCUGGCAUCAAUGUUAUCUACGGAAGCUUUGAAUCAUGUGGGAGAAAGGCAAGGGGAGUCAUGAGAUUCUCUUUUCAACUCAAAUGGGUAGUCAUGUGUUUCAAACAAACUAUCAGUGCUUAAUCAAAGUGAAAUCAUUCUAGAUGACUUCUCUUUCUUGUAUGAGCUGCAAAGGAGCAUGUUUGGCAAGCAUUGAAGCAGACCAACCUGCUGAAGUUAUCUAUGAUGCCCCAAAGAUCUGGGACUAUUGCAUGCAAGCUGGAAAUAGGCAGCCAAGCAUGAGAUUAUGGUUCAUGGCUGAGACACGUGGACUCUUCUAUUUCCUUCCAUCUGUGUUCACCGGAUAUAACAAGGGUCAAGGUUUCUUCCGAGGAUGAGAUGCACAAGUGGCGAUGCCAAAACACCGCAUUUCGGAUGCGUUCGGGAAGUUUCAAGGUGCCUUCAUUGUUGACCUUCAGGAGCUUCAAUUCAAAAUGGUUUUCUUCAGCUGCGUCUGGAUCAUCCAAGAGCUUUCAUCUUGAUCCUUCGAGUCUUCUACAAGGAGAGAAGCCAAUCUUCUCUUUUGUUCUUUCUUGAUGGAGAAGUUGAAGCCAACUUCCUCACAAAUAGGUGCUGAACUUGAUGCACUGUAAUGAGAUGUAGGGUGUGGAUUCCCCAUCUCGAGCUGGGGGUAUUUUUGUAGUUAUUUAUUUGUUUAAAGGGUAAAUUAGACUGUUUGUUCCUCUUGCUUGAGCGAAAUUUUAUUUUGAUCGUCGUUUCAAUUUGAAUAUCUAUACGUUUUUAGUUUUGUUGUAGUGGGGUUCAUUUGUUAUUUAUUGCUAGAGUUUUCAAUGGAAAAAGAAUGUGUGUGCAAUUCACGAGA